CCUACGGGAGGCUGCAGUGGGGAAUAUUGGACAAUGGGGGGAACCCUGAUCCAGCCAUGCCGCGUGUGUGAAGAAGGCCCUCGGGUUGUAAAGCACUUUCAGUGAGGAAGAACGCCUGGUGGUUAAUACCCAUCAGGAAAGACAUCACUCACAGAAGAAGCACCGGCUAACUCCGUGCCAGCAGCCGCGGUAAUACGGAGGGUGCGAGCGUUAAUCGGAAUUACUGGGCGUAAAGCGCGCGUAGGUGGCUUGAUAAGCCGGUUGUGAAAGCCCCGGGCUCAACCUGGGAACGGCAUCCGGAACUGUCAAGCUAGAGUGCAGGAGAGGAAGGUAGAAUUCCCGGUGUAGCGGUGAAAUGCGUAGAGAUCGGGAGGAGUACCAGUGGCGAAGGCGGCCUUCUGGACUGACACUGACACUGAGGUGCGAAAGCGUGGGUAGCAAACAGGAUUAGAUACCCCAGUAGUC
rnacentral:rRNA from 1 species